rfam:Xenorhabdus cabanillasii JM26, WGS project CBXE01000000 data, contig: XENCA_2134_Contig_109
CGUGUGGUGUCUGGCGGCGAUAGGGCUGGAUAGCGACGCGACCUUAACAGAGGU